CUGAUCCCUAGCAUAGUGGUCCUGGAACCAUAACUGGUGAUGAAGCGUCUGUCAGCCUGGAGCCCUCAGCGAUUUCAAGGAGCAGAGCCCCCACUAAACACACACUGGACAGAUAAUGCAAGUGAGAAACAACCUUUGUGUGGUUAAGCCUCUGAGAUUUGGGGGGUUGUUUGUUACCCUGGCAUAACCUAGCCUAUCCUGGCUGACUCUCUGACUCAUCUUCCUUUGCUCCGGAGGGACUGAUUUACACUGCAGGAAUGCCAGCCAGCAGCUCUGUGGGUGGGAAAAAUGUACCUGCUUUUAUGUACCCAAGCUAAUAGCCGCUUUCUCCCUACUGCCUGUGAGAGUUUGUCUCUUUCUCCUCCUUUCUUUCUUGGUGCCAAAUUUAUUUCUGAUUUGUUUUCCUUGUUGAACCUCUACAACUCCUUAUUUUCCAAGGCUAUUUUUAGUGACUCUAUUCUACCCUGAAGGAAAUAGUUCACAUCUUGGUGCCCAGGGCUUUUUUAGCUCCUUUUAAUGGGAGAGGAUAGCACAUAUCAACAAUUCUUUUAGUCACCAAGUCAUUUCCCCAAGAGGCUUAGAGAAGAACAAAAUGUCUCCAUCAAAUGAGUUUUGGAUGCUAGACUCCAACCUCCUCAUUGUGCAUGAUCUUCCCGGUACAAACAAGACUUUAACUUCCCAUUGCUUCCUUCCUUUUGGAGGUUAAAGCCUGGGUUCCUUAAACCUGGUGAUUUUCCUGGCCUACUGGACUGGUCUUUGGGAGUGGGGUUCAAAAAUCUAUGUCUUUUAAAAGCUCUUUAAGUGAUUUUCUAGAGAGAAUUUGAUGACAGCUGUUUGGGAAGUCUUGGGUUGGCUACGUAUUCUACAUACAGAGCCACAUAUAUUUGUUGUAACGUGAUAUCUCCCUGUUCAUCAAGAAGUCAUCCUUGAUAAAUAUAUAUAUAUAUAUAAUUAAAAACAACAUUCCCCAUGGAUAUUUAUAGCAACUUUAUUUAUAACUGCCAAACUUGGCAACAACCGAGAUGUCUUUCAGUAGGUGAAUGAAUCUAUAAACUGUGUUAUAUCCAGAUGACGGAACAAUAUUCAGGGCUAGAAAGAAGUGAGCUACCAAUCAUGGAAAGACACAGAGAGCCUUAAACACAUAUUACUAAGUGAGAGAAGCCAAUCUGAAAAGGCUACAUACUGUAUGAUUCCAGUUAUAUGAGAUUUUGAAAAAGGCAAAACUAUGGAGACCAUGAAAAGGUCGGUGUGUUCUAGGGGUUGGGGGGCAGGAGGGAUAAACAGGCAGAACACAAAGAAAUUUUUGGGCACUGAAACUAUUCUGCACAGUAGUGCAAUGGUGGAGGCAUAUCAGUGUAUGUGUCAAACCCCAUAGAAUGUACAGUACCAAGAAGGUAAACUAUAGACUUUGGUGAUAAUGAUGUGUCCAUGUAGGUUCAUGGGCGAUAACAAACGUACUGCUCUGGUGGGAGAUGUUGAUGGUAAGGAUGAUUGUGCAUGUGUGGGGUCUAUGGGAACUUUUUGCACCUUACUCAAUUUUGCUGUGAACUUAAAACUGCUCUAAAAAGUCAAGUCUACUGAAAUAACAACAGUAACAUUCUCUUUCAUGCUUCUGGAGGAGACGAUACCUUCUUGGGAGCGAGUCUGAGGGGUGAAGCUGAGCACUCCAGUUCUCUUACGGGUUUGCUAUUUGCCAUUCAAUGUCUUCCAUCUUACCAGCAAGGCCAGUCAGAACAAAAACAAGUGUCAGAGAGUAGGAAGUGCUUAGGCAUGAACUGGAAUAACUAGGAUGAGCAAGGCCCUAUUAGGGGGAAGGUGGUGACCCAUUUCUUAUCCAGCAAUCUACAGCCAGACUUCUCCACUCUGUCUUCUCAAGGGAUGUCAGGGAAGUGAUGGCUUUGUAUUUUUGCUAUUUGUUCUGUGGGGGCCAUGAUCAUCAUGGCUUGUGGAGACCAGGAAGGAAGCAAGGGGUAAUCGGGCAAAAGGGCAGCAUGUACCACAGAAGCACCUGGAGAGAUGCCAACAGACCACAGGCAAGGAGGCAAGAAGUACACAAAAUUCAGAAGGUAGGAGAUCAGAAGCCAGGCGAGUAGACUGAGUAAUGGAUGGGAGGCAGGAGCAUCUGACCAGUGAGAAAGCCUCUUAUCAAUUUUAUUUUACAGGGGGAGCCUAUAGUGUGAAAUGAGACACUAGGGUCCAGUGGUGGCCAUGAUGGUGAAGAACAAGUGGGGUAACCUCCCAGUAGGGGGAGGGAGGUGCUCAGAGUCAAGGAUGCUACCGGCUCAUCACUGCAACAUGUGACCAAGAGUCAACCAGCUUUCACAAUGUCCCCUGGAAGUCAGUUGCCAAACCAAGGCUCUCCCAUGCCUGGGAAGGAGAAGAAAAUGGUUAAAAGACAGGAAGCAAAAGUGUCUCCAUUGGGCAGCCACAAAAUUUACCAGCCAUCAAAACCUUUGCCUUUGGGGAGCCUGGCUAGCUCAGUCGGUUAAGUAUCUGCCUUUGGCUCAGGUCAUGAUCUCACGGUUCGUGGGUUUGAGCCCUGCAUGGGGCUCUGUGCUGUCCGCACAGAGCCCUCUUUGGAUCCUCUGACCACCUCUCUCUGCUCCUCUCCUGCUCACUCUCUCUCUCUCUCUCUCAAAAAUAAAUAAGUAAAUAAAUAAAUAAAUAAAUAAAAUUAAAAAACCCUCUAUCUUUGAUACAGCCUGGGAAUAUUUUAAGAGAAUAUCUGUUGAUAUUUAAAAUAAAUUAAAAUAAAAGGAUCAGCCUAGUUCAUGAAUAGCUGUGAAAUAAUAAUCAAGAGCCUAGCUUAUGUUUCAAGAAGGAAUCUGAAAUAUGCUGGCCUAGUGUUUAGAUGCUAGAAACAUGCUAAUGGUAAUACUAGUAGUCUUUGUAAUCAUAGUAAGUAACAAUAACAAUAAUAAUAUGUCAGUAACUGCUGAACCUCUCAGCUAUGGUUAGAGAUGUGUUGCUGUGCAGGUCUGGCCCGGGGGCAAAGUUUCUGGGCUUUCCUGUGGUUUUCCAGUUUUCCUCUGGACUGUAAACCCACCUUCAGCCCAGGAUGUGGUAUAAUUGACACUAUAGUGUAAACAAAUGUGAACGUCAAUGUGAUCCCUGUUUUAGGGAGGUGCUGUCCAAAUCCUAUUUUGAUGGUGGAAUGCAAGGUAAAGCUGUUGAUGCUGGGCUUUAAGGUGGGAGGAGGAGUGGGGUGAGGGGUGGUAUUUGGGGGGGGGUGCAGACUGUGUGAUGUUGAGGCUUAUUAGUGGCUCUUCCACAGCCCUUGAAACCAUACUUUAACAAGUGAAAAGCUUUGAAAGCUGUAAAGGACUAUUAGACGCCAAAACAAAUUACUUUUCUUAUUAUAGGUGACCAGGAGCAGAUACUGAUGCCACAGGAAGAGCAGAGGGAGCUGGAGGAGUGAAGGCUGAGAGGUGAGUUAUUAACAAUUUCCGAGUACAUGAAACACUACAGAGCAAAAGUUGAGAUGCAGCUGUUCUCGACAGCCACCAGAGUCAGAAAAAUAAGCAUGACUGACAGCAGGAGGAGGGAAUUAAAAAAGAUCUAGAACAGUAUUAAGUACAGGAGAGUGUGGCAAAUAGUAUCCAUUCACGCAGUCAUUCAGCAAACCUUUACUGAGCACCUACCGGGCGGCAGGCACUCUGCUAGGUGUCGGAAGUAUGAAGAUAAAGCCAAAGCCUCUGCCCUCAAGUGGUUCACAGAAUCACAUCAGCCCAGUCGUCACCUCCGCAGAUAUGUGCCUUCCUCCCUGUAAAUGCCUCAUAGAUAUUCAUCUCAUGAAUGGCUGAAAUAGGAUUGAACCAGUGGGAAAGACAAAGAAGCCAUCAGGUAUCACAGAUCCUUUCUCUAGCCUGGGGUUGAUGUACGCCUUUCCCGAGGCAGGAAGAUGGCUGAUGGAGAUCUAUGUCCAAUUGAAGAUGCCACUUAUAAUUAGGUUUGAUUCCCUGAAGUGCUGUUUUUGGAGAAAGUUGUCCAGUAUUUGAGGAAGGCCAAGUUUAACAAGUUAGACCUGAAACUUCACCAACCCUCCAAGUCAAGUCCCCCGGCCAAGCGUUUAUAUUUAAUUGGAUGUUGUCACCAGUCAUCUGCUCCAAGAAUGCAGAACACUACUUUCAAAGCAGAUACCUUUUUUGGAGCUGCACAGUGCAAAUCUUGAUGAGUGGAGUCAAAACAGCGCCUGGCAGUGUGACUGACAACCUCACAUCAGUCAACUCAGAAAGAACUGGAAGGCUUCCACCUCCUUGCCCGCCUCUGCCACAAAGUGCCUCACACACCAUGUGCAUCUGGCUGGCCAUCCACUAGGCAGACGUCGCAGCGUGUGGUCUGAGUGAAUCCCAGCCUUCUCCUUUCUGUGCCUGCAAAGCUGUCCCCAAUUCCCUUGAAGCUCCCUGGACGACGCCCACACAAAGGCCUUUCCACCCGCCAGAGCUUCUUCCUGUUGCUGUGCCUUGCUUUUUUCUUCACAGCUCGAUAAACCCUUCUCAUCUCAUAUUUAUCAAAUGCAAUCACAAAGGGACCACUUAAUUAACAGGCUGCCAUUGUGUGGAAGAUGAUUUGGAAGCGUACAGCCAUUUAAGAAACCUCACACUGUUCCAGACGACAAAAACAGUAGGAUGCACCAUCUGGGAGGAAGCUUCCGCUGAAACAGACGCCAGUGUUUCCAUGAUUAAGAACCUAAUAUUAUAACAUCAUAGUAUGCUGUGCCAUUUGGUUAGCAGAGGCAGCCUUGCGAGUGAGUGUUCUCAGGUCUCGCCUGCUUAGAUGCAGCCAAAUCAUUCAGUAUCAAAAUAUUUGCUCUGGCAAGGGGCCCUGGUUUAUACUGCUCUUGUAUCUAUUCCCCCAUCAAGCCUAUGCGGGGUGGACACACUGAAAGAGCUUAAUUAAAACUUGCCAAGGAAUUUGUUGGCUCUGACUACAGGUAGGGUGAGGGUGUGGGUACUAUGGCUUGUGAAGGCAACUGCAGGUGAAUUCACAGUUCCAACGGGGAUGAAAAAAUUAAUAUGAUGUAAAUAUUGCCUACAAGAACUGAAAAAAGCUUACCUGAUCCCCCUAAAAUAUAACUGCUACUCUGUUUAUACACACACACACACACACACACACACACACACACAAACACAGCUACUCCUUAUGGAAAAUUUAGAAAACAUAGUUAAGCAAAAAUUUAAAAAUAAAAAUUACCCAUAAUCCUCAGAGAGAGCAAUCUUUUUGUAUAUUUCCUUCUGAUCUCUCCCCGCCCCCCUUACAUUUUCUGCAUUAUAUUCUGUGUAGAGCAGUUCCUACGUUACUUCUUAGGCCAUUUUUAGUCUCAUGUGUACAUUGUUCGUGACUUCUUGCCCCCUGGUAAAAGUCUCUUUACCUCCUUUCUGGCUAUCCAAAUCCUACUCUGGACCAACUUCCGGCCCUACCUUCUAAUCUCAUCCACAUUAGAAAGAAUAUGGGAUUAUAGAGACUUUCAUUUGGUCCACUGAACAAGCUGUGGACAUGGGCAAACUACUUACCUUCUCUGAGUCUCAGGUGUCUCCUUAUGAUAAUGGAGAUGAGAACCUUGCAGAGCUAUGGUCACAGUUAAAUGAGGUGAGGUGAGUAAAGAGCAAUGUCAGUAGAUGAAGAGUCUGUUUCUUCCCUGGUUCUCUGUGUACCCAGAGCACCUGGAGUGUUCUGCUCCCAAUUUUGCCCAUUCUAGAUACUUCAACACCUUCCGUUGUUUCUAGGAUACAAUCCCCGGUUGGUAUGGUAGUCUAAAAAACUGCUGAUCAGCUUUAUUUUGAACCAAGCUUCCCCUCAUUCUCCAUGUCAGUCACCUGACUUUCCCCCAGAGCAGGGUUUGCAUGCACUGGUCCCUCUACCUGGAUCAAUCUUCCCUCCCAUCUCUACCUUGUUAUCUACUUCUCAUCUUUCAUAGCUAGGCUCACUUGUCACAUUGUUAAUGAUUCCUGCCCAGGCUGUCCAGAGUAGAGCAAUCCUCUGCUGCCUUCUCAUAGUGUCACGUACCUAUGCCUGGGUCUUUUUUUAUUUAUUUCUUUGGGUCUUUUUAAAAAAUUAGUAUUUUCCCUCCCAGAAUUAGUCUUCAUGAGAGUGAGCAUCAUGGCUGCUUUUGUUCUCCAGUGGAUUUCUAGUGCCCAUCACAGAACCUGACAUACAGUUGCUUCGUGCAUAUCGUUGAAGAAUUAAACAAUUCUGUUUUCCAGUUGCUGACACCAAUGAAUGGCAUCCUGUUAAGGACCAGGGCUGUGUCUUCUGUUCCUGUGGGGCUCAAAGAGGGCCACUUCAUCCCACCCCAGGCCCUAGAAAUGAUGCUGCAUUAGCCUUAGUCUCACGGGCAUCUCCCUCACCUUUCAAGAGGGUCUAUAACAGAGCCUGGAUGAGGUUCUGUGCCAUGCAUGGCACUUCCCAGACUGUUCCUCUUUCUCUCUCUUUCCUUUUCCUUUGAACAGAAAAUCUAUCAACCAUGCCCAGCUUAACCACCUCCUGCACCAUGAAGCCUUCCUUGGUGUUCCUUUCUCACCCGCAUGGCGUCCGUCCUGUCCUCUGGUACAAACAGAACUGAUUUCACUCUGUUCCUCGUGGUGUGCUGAGUUGUUAGCUGGUCUGCCCUCUGGCUAAGCCCCGAGUCCUUAACUUGUUCCCCUUCCAGACCUGGCUCUCACGUCCUAUUCCUCACCUGUUCCCCACCGUUCUUCAUUCCUCCUUUGCCCUCACUGUUGCAGGUGUACAUAAUGUUCUUCGGUCCUUCAAACCAACCAUAAUCUCACACUUCUGGGCUUAGGCAUGAGCUGUUCUCAUAUUGCAAUGCUCUUCCCUCCCCCUCUCCAUAUGCCCAAUUUCUAAUUAUCCUCCCACCUUGGUACCAAGGCUGCUUCCAUCAGGAAGCCUUCCUUGAUUGCCUGGGUUAGGUGGCUGCUCCCUCUCCAUACUGUGUCCCUUGAGCACUUCUCACUCCUCCUUUCCCCAUUUUCCCUACAAAGCACAUGCUCCAUGAAGGCACACAGACCAGUCAGGUUUACUUUGCUUACCCAGUACUUAGUAGGUGCUUAAUAACUACCUGGUGGAUGAAUGCAUUAAAUCUGCCUCAAGUCACCUUUGUAACCUUCAUUCUGCCCCCUUGCCACUAUUCUCUGCCCAGAGUAGGACUGAGAGAUGUUUGGGGGCGAGGGGAGGGGAUGGAACUGAGGUCUCCCCAGUAAAUACUUCUGGAGCCCUUUCCAUGCCAGCAGGGAUCAUUCUCAUCCCUCUCUGUGUCACCAGCACAGGCCUGGGCACGGAGCAGGGGUUCUACAUUGUCAAAUUACAAUUGUAUUUCAUAUAUUGAGACACUUGGCCAUACCAGCUGUAUCACCUCUAGCAAGUCCCUUUCCCUCUCCAGCCUUAGAUCUGCAAAGCGGGAUUUUGAGAGCUAAGUGAGUUAAGAUCCAUAGCGAGUUAGGACAUAGAGCAGAGCACCCAGUGUGAGCCACCCGCCACUUUGCUACCUGCCACCAGAGCUCUUCAUCCUGACUAGGGCUGGCUCUGACUCUGAGCGGUGGCACCCGAGCCUGGCGGUCGGGCGGAGCCUUGGGAGCUGGCGCGGCCCUGGGGAACUCCUGGGCUCCCCUCCCCUCCAACCCCGUGCUCACGGUCUGGCCGUUUUGCUUUCGAGAUACACCUGGCCGCUGCCCGGCGCCCCGGGCGCCGCCGCCACUGGCCGCCACCCCCGCCCUGCGCAGCCCCCGCUCCUGGAAGUUUCCGCGGCCGGCAGUGAGUCACCGCCCUUUUUUUAGCAGCCGCNGCAGCCGCGUUGGAUGUGCAGCGUCACACCGCGGCUCCCGAGAGCCUGGGGCCCUGCCGCCGGCGACGUCAAUGCAGAAGAGCCCAGCGCUCACCGAGAGCUAGGCCGGUGCAGGGGUGGCGACCCCGGCCCCGCGCCCCUUGGUCCCAGCGCCGCCGCCAGACUCCCCAGGCCUUCAGAGCUGCCUGGCUGCCCGGGAGCUUUCCGGGGUCGCUCACCCCGGGGAGGGUGACUCUGUGUGAUCGGUCUGUGUGACUCUGGGGCCUUGGAACUGGGGAAAGGUGGGCUGCGGUGAAGAGGGAAAACAAAACAAAACAAACAAAACAGGAGGCAGCCAUCCGUGCCUCUGUCUGUUAUCAGUCCAUCCAGUCACCUGCCCAACUAGCAGCCCAUCCAUCCAGGCAUUCGUUCACACCCUAAGUCAUUUAAGACCCUUCUUCCCAUCCAUCCAUCCAUCCACCCAUCCAUCCAUCCAUCCAACCAUCCAUCCAUCCACCCAUCCACCCAUCCACCCAUCCACCCAUCCAACAAUCCAUCCAUCCAUCCAUCCAUCCACCCAUCCAUCCACCCAUCCAUCCACCCAUCCAUCCAACCAACCAUCCAUCCAACCAUCCAUCCAUCCACCCAUCCAUCCAUCCAUCCAUCCAACCAUCCAUCCAUCCACCCAUCCACCCAUCCACCCAUCCAUCCAUCCAACAAUCCAUCCAUCCAUCCAUCCACCCAUCCAUCCAACAUCCAUCCAACCAUCCAACCAUCCAUACAUCCACCCAUCCAUCCAUCCAACCAUCCAUCCAUCCAUCCACCCAUCCAUCCACCCAUCCAUCCAACCAUCCAACCAUCCAUCCAUCCACCCAUCCAUCCAACCAUCCAACCAUCCAUACAUCCACCCAUCCAUCCAUCCAACCAUCCAUCCAUCCACCCAUCCACCCAUCCACCCAUCCAUCCAUCCAACAAUCCAUCCAUCCAUCCAUCCACCCAUCCAUCCAACCAUCCAUCCAACCAUCCAACCAUCCAUACAUCCACCCAUCCAUCCAUCCAACCAUCCAUCCAUCCAUCCACCCAUCCAUCCACCCAUCCAUCCAUCCAUCCAUCCACCCAUCCAUCCAACCAUCCAACCAUCCAUACAUCCACCCAUCCAUCCAUCCAACCAUCCAUCCACCCAUCCAUCCAUCCAACCAUCCAUCCAUCCAACCAUCCAUCCAUCCAUCCAUCCACCCAUCGCACCACAUCGUGCAUCCAGCGGUGUGCUCCUCCUUGUAACCACCAGCCUUCCCAUCCAUCCAAGCAUUUACUCACAGCUAAGUCACUUACGACCCUCUCUUCCUCCCAUCCAUCCAUCCAACCAUCCACUCACCCAUACCAUCAUUCAUCUACCUUUCUGCUCCUCCAAUCAACGACCUGCUUUCCCAUCCAGCCAGUUGACAUACUGAGUCACUUCAGGUCCUCUCUCCCCACAUCCACCCAUCAGUAAUACACUCAUUUAUUUACCUCCCACCUGACUAUUUGUCUCUGCCCAUCCACCUAUUCAUCUACAUACUCAUUUGUCCAAAUUAGCAUCCACUCUGCUAGGUGCUGACAAUACCAAGAUCAUUAGGGCGGUAUCUCCACUCCUGUGGAACUCAGAACCAGCAUGGUUUAAUAUAUCCUAGGAAAAAGUCUUUGCCCUUAUUCCUCUCCAAAUUAAAGAACUAUAUGUAAUACAGUGCUAUUACAGUGGGAUAAUAAUAGUAAUAGUAAUAAUAGUAAUGAUACUAGCAGCUGCUAACAUUAACUGAGCACGAUUUGCCAAGCAGUGUUCUAAGCUUUGCACAUGCAAUAUCUCACUGGAUCCUCACUCACAUUAACCUGGAGGCAGGUACUAUUAACACACCCAAUUUUCAGAUAAGAGAAACCAAGACUCACAGAAAUUAAGAAACUCCUGCUCCACAGCUAUUAAAUGGCCACACGGAUGAGACACCAGACUCUGACUUUGAAACCAGGGCUUCUAGUUGCUUUACUGGUGUUUGUUACCCAAGAGAGGCAACACAUUAAAAGGAUUUAAGUCGGAUCAACUAUACCACCUCUCUGAGCCUGUUUUCUGUAAAAGUAGGGACAGAGAUAAUGCAUACUCAGAGAUAAUGUAUAUACUCAGCCUAGCAUCCAUUUGCAAGGACUAAUGUGACUGACUGAUGGACUUAUUGCUGACCAAUAUUAGGGUGCAGAGGAAAUGAGACAUAGCUAUUGCUAUCAUCCAUGUUCAUUACAGAGCAAUUAAGAGUAAGAAAAAAAUCCUCUUGUGAUUCUAUUAUCUAGAAAUAACAGCUGCUAACAUUUGGUUUAUGUUCUUUAAAAUGUUUACUACCCAUGUUUAUGGAUUAUACACAUUUGAAAGAAUAUAGUAUGCUAUGGACAUCUUUCCACAAGCUCUUCACUGCUAUUCUUGCCUUCAGUUGCUGUCCACAGAGUGUUCUUUUGAAAACACAAAUAUUAAUUUUCUUGAAAAUCAUAAAGUUCCCCUCAACCCCCACCACCACUAUUACCAGGAUAAGAUCCAUAUUCCUUAAUGCGACUAUUAGGCCCCUCGCGAUCUAUCUUUCUUCGCUUACCUUUCAGCCUCAUCUCUGCCAUCUUCCUCUUGCUCUCUUUGCCUUUAACACAUGGAACAACUACCAAUUCCCAGUGAACCUCUAAAGUGGUAAUAAUCCAGAUUAGAAGUGAUGGUGGCUCAAACCAAGGUACCAGUAGUAGGGGUGGAGAGAAGUGAAUUUAGGUGGGAGAUAGGAUUGACUUAUUAAUCGGAUGUAAGGAUGAGAGAAAAGAAAAAGUCAAGGACAAUGCCACAUUUCUGGCUGGCCCUGUGGGGCAGAUGAUGGUUUAUCAGCAAGACAGAGGCAUCUUGGUAUGCAAGAGGUUUGGACAUGGUGAGUUUGAGGGGUGUGAUGGCCAGAAUAAUGGCUACCCAAAGAUGUCCACAUCCUAACUUCCAGAACCUAUGAUUAUGUUACAUUAUGUGGCAAAGAGACUUUGCAGAUGUGAGUAAUUUAAGAAUUUGGAGAUGGGGAGAUUACUCUGGAUUAACUGGGUAGACCAAUGCAGCAAUCACAAGGGUCCUCAAAAAAGGGAGGUAGGAGGGUCAGAAUCAGAGUAGGAGAUGUAACCACAGAAGCAGAAGUUGGAGUGGUGACGGGCCAUGAGCCGAGAAUGCAGGCAGCUUUCAAAGCUGAAAUGGACAAGAAAAUGGAUUCUCUCAUGAAGCCUCCAAAAGGGACAUCUGAUGCCAUCCUGCCGCCAUCUUGAUUUUAGCCCACUGAGAUUGAUUUUGGAUAAUAAGCUUGUGGUGUUUUAAACUAUUAUGUUUGUGGAAAUAGGAAACUAAUGCAAGAGGCUGGGGGAUAUCCAGGUGGGGAUGUGCAGGAGAGAACGUCCAGGACGCAGACUUGGACUGGAUGGAGAGUCACUGGUGCGGGGGCUGGAUGAUCCCAUUGGAUGUUCUAGCCAGGAAGUGUGGAAUGGGAGAGAACAGCCUGGAGAGGGCCCAAUACAGGAGAAACCUUUGAAGGAAAAUGAGAAGGUGGACCUGGAGAAAUAGGAGGAAAUCUAGUGAUGGAAAAUCCAAGGGUAGAGUUUCAAGAAGGAAGCUAUCUCUGUCAACCCCCACAGAGUGAUCCAUAAGGUGACAGAAAGUGCCUGUUGGAUUUGAUGGUCAACAGUGUAUAUAGUCUUGGUGAGAGCAGUUUCAGAGGCUGAGCAGGACUGAACCAGCCUGUUUGCAGGGAGAAAUAAGUGAGGAGCUGGAAACACAUGGAAGACUACUUUCUUAGAUCAUUGGCUUUGAUGGGGAAAGAGAUAAGACAGUAGUCGGAAAAGGAUGGGGGAUUAAGGGAGGACUUUUUUUUUAACACGAGAGAGAGAGAGAGAGAGAGAGAGAGAGAGAGAGAGACAUGAAUAAGGUUAGUUGUUUCUGGGAAGGACUCAGCUGGGAGGCUGGAGGAUGAUCAAAGUCUGGAUGGAGGGGGAGUUUAGGAUGAGAUCAGGUCUCUUAGGAGGCAUGUGUUGGUGGUGGGAUUCAGAGGGCCAGUGGGGAUCAGCCUUGGAUUGGAGGAGGAGGAUCUUUCCGCCUGGCGUAAUGGGAAGAAGGCAGAGACAGGUGUGUAAGUAGGAAUGAAUCUACAAAGUAGGAACUUUGAAUCUACUGGUUAAAGUGUUCAGACAUUUUAGGACAAUUCCUUUCUGACUUGCUGUAGUAAAUUGCCACUGAAAUUUCACUACUUGGAUCAAGAAAAUAGAAUUUAGAGAAAACAAAGAGAUCGGGCUAGUGGUCAGUGGAUCAGCAUAGAAACCAGAGCCAGAGCUGAACAAAAUUUUUUUAUCUUAAGAAUCAUAACAACAUAAAAUAUAGGAAUUGCCAUACUGGGACAGACCCAUGGUCCACACAGGCUGAUACUCUGCUGCCAACAGAGGUCCCAUGGGAUGGGCACCCAGAGGGCACAGUCAUGUUGUACCCACCCUUGAUCUUGGGUAAGAGACAGAGAAACCAUUUCCUCCUGACGUCAACUAUAAAGGUUAGGUAUAUCCCAGCACCCAUUUAUGGCUCUGUCGUACAUAAAUAUAUCCAAAUCCUCUCCAACUGCCUGCCCCAUCCCCCUUGGGGUUAUGUGUUUCAUUGGUUUAUUUCCCACUGUGUGACACAGAAUUUUAAAAUCUCUAUUUCCAUCCUACUUUGUCUGAGGUUCAAAGAGGGACCAUUUAUCCCACUGGGCAUCAAAUGCAAUAAUGCAAAUAGAAUACAUUUAGUGCUGCGUAAACCCUGACACAUCAUAAGCGAUUCAUAAAGUCUAGUGAUGAUAAUGACGAGGAGGAUGAUAAAGAUGAUGGUUCAAUCCUCAAUAACCCUUUCUGUUAUGCAUUUUCUUUCCCAUUUUACAGAAAGACAAAGUAAGGAAGGCUCAGGUUGCAUGCAUCCCUCUGAUAAAGGAGAUCAGAGGAGAAAAAAGUUAGAGGUCAAAGAACAGUUCACUGAAAAGUUGAAACUUGGGGUGUGGGCUAGAAGCUUAAGAAGCAACAGCUUGGAAACACCCUCUGCCCACCUCUCGUAACACACCCACCCGCCCCAGCCCCAGGGCCGCACCUGCUGGCAGCUUGCUGCCAUCUAUGCAGAGUCUGAACCCAACUCAGCUGAGCCCUGGGGCCAACCAGCCCAACGAGGAUUCUUCAGGUUCAGAGCACGAAAGGAUCCAUUUUAUUUAUUCUACCCUCGUGAUGGAAAUGGCCCAAAAAAUGUCCUUGUGCUUACUAAGCUAUUUCCUAGCCAAAGCCAGCCAGAGAAUGUUAAUUAUCUCAUCCUUUUUUCCCCUCCGUGAUGAAUUAUUGACUUCCACUGCACACUAUCUUUAAUUGCGAGGUAUUCCAGAACGAGCAGGUUAUCAAAAAUGUGCAAGGGGGAGAGCUUUGGUUGGGCACGGGGAAGCUGAGGUGGGAAAAUUUAUCCUUAUUUAUUUACAUGGUAAUGGGAUGAGAUUUUGCCAGCUUGCUAAUGGGUUCUUAAAGAGAAACAGGCUUCCCGUGGCCUAGUUAGAACGAUUGGUUGCCCUGCUGCCACAUAAAACACCAAAUCAAGAAGGCAGUGGCUCCCUUUUUCUAGACUAUUUUUCUGUUUGGGGAAAGAUCUGCAUUAUUUGCAUGGGUCGAGGGAUUCACAAUUUAUAGGGAGAGGAUGGCCGCAGCUGCUGUCUGGUUUAAAGAGACCAGCCCCUAACCCUGCCACCGACCAUUUAUUUGGCCUCAGAUGGUGCAUUUAAUUGCCCCUCAGCGUCAGUUUUUCUAUCAGUCACAUGGGGAUGGUUAUGCUCUGCCCUAAAUCAACUCAGCAAGUUCAUUGUAAAGACAAGAUUAAAAAGUCAGUUUUAAGAGCGCCUAACGAUUGUGAGUAUUUUGUAUCUCUGAGGAGCACACGUGAUUUUCCGGAAAGCAAGAGACAGGUCCUAAUCACAUUUAAAAAUAAACCUUAGCAUUUUCUAAGUGCUUGUCCAAUUACUCCAAAUAACGUUCAUUCCAGAGGCUGCUGGUGGGGUGGGUCACGUGGUGAGUGUAUUAGAUAGUACCGGCUGCAGCAUCUCAUUCCAACGUUGAGGAGGAAGCAGCCAGGUCCACAGAUAACCCUGAAUCUCUCUCUGCGGCCUUUGGAGUUUCUUUGCCAGAAAUGCCGGGAAACCUCUCUGGGUGCUUCCUCCUUCAUCUUCUUUACCCUUUUGCUGUUCUCAUUUAUGCAAUAGAUGUUUGUUGAGUGUCUCCCACGUGCCAGGCGCUGGGCUGGGCACUGGGUACAGACAUCAUCUGGGAGGAGGGAUGAAAGUUAAACACAGAAAUAAAUACGCAGUUAUGAAGGAAGGGAAGACUGGGGCUUUGAGAGAGAGGGUACCGGGGGAAGGAGUCAUUUUACAUUAGAGGAUCAGGGAAGGCCUGUCUGGGGUUGUUAAAUUGGAACUGAGGCCCAAAAGACAUACUGCUCAGAUAGAGCACAGUAGAUGUACAGGUAGAGAGCAUUCUAGUCAGCGGGAACAGCACGUAUGAAGGCACUGAGCAAGGAAGAGCUUGGUGUGUUUCAGAACUGAAAGGGGUGGGGUGUGUGUGAGUGUGCACACACGUGUGCAUGGAAGGAUCAUGAAGACAGAGUGGAGGCUGAGAGCAGGUGAAGUGGAAGAGGCCAGGUAGGCCUGGGUUUGAACCUUGUCUUUGCUCCCUGUUAGCUUGAUAAUCCUGGGCAAGUCACAGCACCUCUCUGAUCUUCAGUUCUGUCCUUUGUAAAAAAAGUACAGAUGGCAGGUAGCUCAUGAGUCAAAUUGAGGUUCAAAGUGCACCACAGUAAAACAAAACAAAAUAAAGUUCACCAUAAUCACCCCUGAGUCCCUCUUAAUCUGGCCCAUGUUACCUCUUGGAACUUCUCUGUGAUUAAUCUUUCCCUCCCUCCCUUAGCCCCAGCCAACUGGCCUCUUUGCUGUUUCUCAUACACACAAGACAUAUUCUACCUCAGGGCCUUUGCGCUUGUUUUCUCUGUUGGCAAUGCUUUUCACCUGUAAGUCUUACUCCUCACUUCCUUCAGUCUUUAUUCAAAUAUUGUGUUCUCAGCGUGGCCUUUCUGACUACUUUAUUGAAGAUUAUUACCUCCAUUCUAUUCCAAGCAUUCCAAGGGAUCCAUCCCUGCUCCUGGCUUGCUGCUUGCUUUCUUUUUCUUUCUUUCUUCUUUCUUUCUUUCUUUCUUUCUUUCUUUCUUUCUUUCUUUCUUUCUUUUUUUCUUUCUUUCUUUCAUGUUUAUUUGUUUUUGAGAUAGAGAAAGACAGAGUGCGAGUGGUGGGGUCGGGGGGCAGAGAGAGAGGGAGACACAGAAUGUGAAGCAGGCUCCAGGCUCUGAGCUGUCAGCACAGAGCCUGAUAUGGGGCUUGAACUCACAAACUGAAAUCAUGACCUGAGCCAAAGUUGGACGCUUAAUUGACUGAGCCACCCAGGCACCCCAUUUUUUUUCUCCAUAGUACUUAGCACCAUCCAGCCCACUAAAUCUGUAUUUUGCACAUUAUCUGCCCUCCCCACUAGAAUGGGGGCUCCAUGAAGGCAUGCGGUUUGUCUAUUUUGUUCAUUGCAGUAUCCCUAGCAUCUAAGGAGAGUGCCUGGCAUAUAUUAGGUGCUCAAUUAAUAACGUUGAAUGUUUGCAAAGAUAUUUAAUAAGGUAAGUAGAACAAUGCUUCCCACUUGUAGAACAGUUACAUCCAUUUUAGCUUUUUUUUUCUUCUCAGUUAGAAAGCUCUGUGCCCUUGGGACCCCUAGAGCCUGGGCUCUUUGAUUCCAUUUGAGUAAAUUCCAGCUUUCCCUACUCUGUGCCUGUACUGAACACCCCUUUCCUCAAGGUCUCGUGAAAAGUCCCAUCUCCUCCACAAAUUCUUCCCUAACUUACUUCCCCAGGCUGCAGAGAUCUCGCCCUCCCCAGACCACUUCUAAAACUUUCUUUUUUUAUUUUUAUAUUUUUUAAUGUUUAUUUAUUUUUGAGAGAGAGAGAGAAACACAGAGUGAGUACGAGUGGGGGAGGGACAGAAAGAGAGAGCAAGACACAGAAUCCAAAGCAGGCUCCAGGCUCUGAGCUGCCAGCACAGAGCCUGACACAGGACUCAGACCCAUGAACUGCGAGAUCAUGACCUGAACCACAGUUGGAUGCUCAACUGACUGUGCCACCCAGGUGUCCCUAGCACUUUCAGUGGUGUUUCUUAUAUGGGCCUUAUUAUUGAAUACUCUGGGGUAUCUCCCGCUCUUUCAUUUAACGUUGUGAUGUCUAUGUUUUCUAACCAAAGCUUAGAACUGUGGAUUCAUAGAAUUUUAGAGUGGAGAGGGAUGUUAGUGAUACUCUUCUUCAGUGUUAUAUGGCAGGGCACUUUCUGCAAGCUUCUGGAGCUUAUGUUCAAUUUAUUUAAAUUCUCUUAUCUGUUUAUUUGGCAAAUGUUUAUUGAAUGCUGUUGUGUGCCAAUUCAUGGGUUGAGUACUGUGUUAUGACAGUGAUCCUGUCAUAGUUGGAACUCUCUAUUGCUGACAUGAUGGUGCUUUGCACACAGUAGAUGCUGAAUAAAUUUUUGUUGAAGAAAUGAAUGAAUUGAGCGUUCGUAGCCAAUUUGAAGAUGAUUACGGCAAAUUGUCUUAAAAAUAAUAAGAUUGUCUUUAUAAACUAUGUGAUGUCAGUGUUUUGGGCAUAGUAAAUACUAAUCCAUGAAGAUUUGGGAUGGAUAGAAGGAGGUGUGGGAGGUGCUUGAGGGAAAUGGAGAGGUCCUGAGUUAGGAUUCCCAAGAGGCCCAGAAGAAGGGGUUGAAUUAACCUCCCUAUGGGACACCUAUCAAAGUUUGGAGGAAGGGGGGAAAUGGGAUGGGUGGUGGCUUCUGUUGGUUUAGAGGUGAAUUAGCUCUCAGUGUCAAGAAGCUGAAGGAUAAGCCACUCUGGUAUCUAAAAUCUACUUAGGAAAACCCUGAGAUCCACUAGGGGGUUCUACUCUUCCUACUGGAGACCCCUUCUCUAGAGGACAGAAUUCUCUUACUGUCUUGCAAGUGAUUGCUUAUGGGAAACAUUUUAAUGCUUGGCAACAGCACAUACUGUCAAAUUCAUUUAUUUUGCUUCCAGUUUGCUCCCCAAGGGGGACAUUGUACUGCCAAAUGGCUCUGCCUAUGUGCCAGGCUCCAGUGGCUUCCAGCACCUGGGGGUCUGAUUUCCAGCGAUGCUACACUCCAUCACUCAGCCUGAGAACAUCUUAAUUUAGCACAAAGGGUGACUUCCAGGCUGAAAGCUGCUAAGGACAAAGAGUUGUCAGAGGUGGUCAAUGCCAGUUGCAAAUGUGGUCAGUCUCUGGAUCUUGGUUCCUCAGACACUGCUACCCAUUUGGAGAUGUUCCUCAUUCCAAUGCCAUGUCAUCAUCAUUUUCACCACCACCACCACCAUCAUCAUCAAUUACUAUUACAGAUUAAGCUGCAUCAGAUAGGUUUGUAAUUACCCCUUAACAGGGGCAAUUUUCUGGGUGGAGAAGUCCUGAUCAACAAAAUAUUGGUCAUGCGACAACCUCUGUAAGAUUUUUCAACAGAGAAAAUGUUCCUCUUCUACCAAAAUCAAACCAAGAAUCACAAUUCUGAGAAGAAUACUACAAAACUCUCAGGUGCAAAAGGAAAUAAAAAGUGGGAGAAAACUCGGGAAAGGUGAAGAUUUAGCAAAAGAUCCUGGGUUAUGAAUCAGAAGACCUGAACUCUAGUCCAGGGAAUUUUGUUUUAAUUUGGGGAUUCCACUGGGAGUGUCAGUAACUCAGCCUCUUUGGGCUAAAGUCAAUGUUUCUAUCAACUGGGAUCAAUAAUGCUUGCCCUAUUCUACCUCAGAAAACUGUGAUGGGAAUUGAGUAAGUUAGUGGAUGAGCAAACUUAGGAAGAAUAUAUAAAAGGGAGUAGUGUGAGAAGUGUUUUGCUGUUACAUUCAAGAUGUUAUAUUGAAGUGAGGCUAAGGACGUUAGCAUUAAGGGUUCUUGGUUGUAUUUUUUAAAAAAAAUUUAAUGUUUAUUUUUGAGAGAGAGAAUCUCAGCGAGGGAAGGGCAGAGAGAGAGGGAGAGAGAGAAUCCCAAGCAGUCUCUGCACUAUCAGCACGGAGCCCGACGCGGGACUUGAACUCACAAACUGUGAGAUCAUGACCUGAGCUGAAACCAAGACUCAGACACUUAACUGGCUGAGCCACCCAGAUGCCCCAGGAUUCUUGGUUAUAAAUGAGAGAAACUCAACUUGCAAUGGAUUAAGCAAGAAAAGGGACUUGAUUGGUAUACAUAAUUGACAAUUCCAAGGUUGAAUCUUGCUUCAGGCACAGCUGGAUUCAAUACAAAAGAUGGAUGGUAUGAGAAUCCUGACUCUUGACCUGGCAGCCUCUUCUAAGAGUGGUGCCUCCAUUCUUAGGCUUUGAGUGAUGGCAAGGGAGCUGGAGCAAGUACAGCCUCUCAAGUUCAAGCCUGAUGGGAAAGUGUGAACGCCUCCUUCUCCUUGGCCUUGCAAGCGAAGUCUCUCAAUGAACUUUCACUGAACCCGAUUAAUUUGAUGUGAGUCACAUGUCUAUCCUGAACAAAUUACUGUGACCAAGGAAUGGAGCUGGCUUAGACCUAGGUGUCAGGACCGAAGUUCUACCCCUGGAGUAGAAAGUAGGGGGCCCCAUAUUUAUAUCACUAUAUGAAAAACCAAGGGACAUGUAGUGAUGUGGUGACGAAGUGUCAGAACACAGCAAAUAUCCACCAAAAAGACUAACCAGUGAGAAACUCUUGAGUGGAAAAAGAAUCUAAAUUAGCCAUUACCAGCAGCAAACAGCAGUCUUUUUAAACUAGAAUCUCUUUAUUAGCCUACUGUUCCUCACAGGUGUGUGCUUACAUCUCACAGAUACAGGUUGUGCAUGGCACAUCUUACAUUUUCUAGAAAGGACUCAAGUUCACCAAUCAUUUUCUUCAAAUUAUAGGAGUGAUUAAGGCUGGAACAAAUAUCUUCAAGUUCUCUCCCUCGCUCUAAUUCAAAGUGCUUGUUUGGUGAUUAACCAAGCAGUGAUUAUGCUAUGGUUUACAUUUUCAUUUGUACUGUUAUUUUAACUCAUAUAAUUUUUUAAGAAACCUUUUAGUGGGUUCAUGGCUUGUCUUCCCAUCCAGAUAGUGAUUUCCUUGAAGGCAGAGAUUAUAUUUCAUGCUUCUUUACCUAACGCUGUAUGCUCAAAAAGUAUUUGUUGGUUUUCUUUAAAUUAAAUAUUCUAAUCAUAUAUUCUUCAUCAGAGCUAUAAAUUCUAAUAAACAAAAAUGCCACGUAAAGGAAAUGUAAACACCACUAAGAUUUUAGGCAACAAAUUCAUUUUCACAUUAAAAGCAUAACUAUUGAAGCUUACUUGUUGACUGCAGAAUGGGAUUGCAACUAUUCAAAUACCUUUGAUAAGAUGGCAAAAUUAUGAUGUAAGUGCUACUUAUUUUUCCAGGUCCAUGGAAGCCAAAACUAAUCAGUCACGCCACUCUUUUUCCAUAAAUCUUGAUGUAGUUUUAGAAUUUGUCUCAAUAUAGCACUUUAGGAGGGCAUUACUAACUGAUUAAGGUGUUGGCCCAAGAAUGGACCCCAUUUAUCAUCCUGCAAUUUAAUGCCUUGGGUGGUUGCCCUCUUUGACCAAAUUGAUAGCUUUAGGCAGUGCACCUGUGGAGCUAGACAGACUGAAAGGGACAUUUUCUCAGCCAGAGCAGUCAAUUCAACUCAGCAACUUGGGGUGACAGAAGAUAGAGGCAAAUCACCCCCCUCAGUUUACAUUAAACUAUAUAUUCUUUAUUGCCAUCUAAUCAUGAGUGCUAAGACCAAGUAUCUAGUAGUUGUUAAUGGAACAAAUUCUCUUUGCUAUUUAAGAGUCAGAUAAGAUGGAUUCAUUUAUAUGAACUUAUUUUAGAAAACUCACCCACUCAUUGACAAAUCUGAACUAGAAACUACCAUGUGCCACAUUAUCCAGGGAAAACUCCUUUUGGAGGGAAUCAGGGGAGCUUUUACAGAAGAAAUGACAUUUCAACUGGUCUUUGCAAGGUGUGUAAAACUUUUUUAGGGAAACCGAGUAUGUGUGUAAGGAAGGAGGCAUAAGACUGUUGGGUUAGAAGGGAUGGCAAAUUUUUUUUUGUAAUAUUUGUCAAGGAAAUACAUGACAAAUAAAGGACAGGUUGUGACUAAGGAAUAAUGAGUCAUCCACUGUGGCUAUAAUGCCCGCAUUAUGUAUGUACAUGAGUAGCAUGUGUCAGGAGGUCAAGGUGAAAGAAUAGAGUGAAAUAAUAUUCUGAAGAGCUUUGAAUAUCAUAUUAAGGAGUUUGGAUUUAUCCUAUGAACAACGGGAGCCAACUGUAUUAUUAGGUAAGAGAAAGGAUACCUGGAAAUGAGUAGAUUGCUUUGGCUGCAGAGCAGAGUAUGGCCAGGAGAGGUUGCAAGACCAGAAGAUAGGGAGAUGGGCAGGAGGAAGCCACUACACCUGUCUAGAUAAGCAAUGAUGAGAAUAUGAACUAGAACAGUGAUAAUGGGAUGGGGAGGAGGGAACAGAAAAAAAAUAUAUACAUCGAGUUUAUGUGACACCAAAGGACAGAGUGGGAAUCGAUGAAAUCUUUGAGACUUCUGGCCAUCAAGAUAAAAUUGAAAGAGAGGCAGGUGACUAGAGUUGUCAGACUUAGUAAGGAAAAAUAUAGGGCACCCAUUGAACUUUGCAUUUCAGAUAAACAACAAGUUUUUUAGGAUAUAUAAAUGUCCCAAAUAUUAGAUUUAACUGGGAUUUUGUAUUUUAUCUGUCAACCCUAAAAGUUGAUCCAAAGACUGGCCAGAUAUCAUUGACUUUGACAGUCAGGAAGCCAUUGAUGUGCUCUUCACAGGCAGUUUCACCACAGCAGUGUGAGCAGAAUCUGGAAGUCGGUGGGCAGCUGAGUGAUCUGGUGACAAGGAAACAAAGAUGGUGAGGAAGGGAAAUUACUGAGGGAGUCAAUUCUGUGCAGGAUUUUGGUGUCAAAGGAAGGUGAGAAAUAGAAAAGUAGCCUAAGAGGAAAAGAUCAGGGAAGAGUCUUCAUCUUGUUUUAGAAAAAAGAGGGAGACUUGUAUGUUUGUAGGCUGACAGGGAAAAAAAAUGCAGAGAGGGAAAAGAAGGAAAGAAACAAGAAAGAGGAGAUUAUCCCUGCAGUGAGAUUCUGGAGGAGGAUUAAGAGAAUAGUGGAGAGGUCAGCCUUGGACAAGAAAUAGAAUAGCUUUUCCAUAGAGCUGAGAGGCAAGGAGAAAGGAUUAACCAUGCUAUAACUAAUCUGGAAAUGUAGGAGAGAAGGUGAAGGAGUGCAUGCAUGAUAGCCUUUUUUUCUUUGUGAUCUAGGAAGGUCCAUCAUUUGAUGAAAGCUGAUGGCAGGGUUUCUGCAAGAGCAGGAUUUGAAUCUAAGGAAAAUGAUAAAAGGAAAUGUCUUGAGUGCUAGAAAGCAGAGGGCUUAAAAACAUGGGUCGGAAAAAUCAGCACCUACUGCCUGAGGCCAAAAAAGACUGGUGUGGAUAGACAAGAACAUGUGGUGGAAAAAAAGGUAUAGAGUUUGGAGGUUGAGGGGCCUGGGUAUGGGCUCUGGUUCUAUCUAUCUGGAUUCAGUAGCUUUUCCUAGGUCAUGCUGUGUAACAUACAGCUCCCAGGUCUCAGUGGCUUCCAAAAGCAUUUCUUUUCCUUCCUUCCUUCCUUCCUUCCUUCCUUCCUUCCUUCCUUCCUUCCUUCCCUCCUUCCUUUCUUUUCUUUAAUGUUACAUGGUAGUGGCUGCAGGUCAGUUGUUAUAGCUCUUCUGCAGGAAGUGGUAGCGUUCAAGUCCAUUUCUUAUUCUAGGACUCAGGCUAGCAGAUAAGGAACCAUUGGGGCAUGACUCCUCAGAGCAGAGGACACAGGAGCAAGAAACCAAACUGAACCAAGCAAUCACAUUUAAAUUUUUUUCUUGGAUGACUUAUGCCAUAUUUGCUCAUGUUCCACUGGCCAAAGCAAGUCAAAUGGCCAAACUCAACAUCUAUGGUGUAUGGAAAGACACUUCACUAUGGGGAGAGGUAAGUGAAUAUUUACAAAUAAUAAUAUAAUCUACUAUAUAAUCUGAAGAUUUCAUAAUUCUGGGCAAGUUACUUCAGCUUCCUGGGCUUCAAUUUCCCCAUGUGUAAUAUGGUGACAGUAGCAUCAUUGUUUUCUAAGUCACAUUAGUUUUCAAAGAUAUGGGGAGGAUUAAAUAAGAUGAACAUGUGUAUAAAACCUACUAUGGUUCCUAGUACAUAACAGAUACUAUAUAUUCAUGAGAUUGCCUUGCCUUGGCAUUGCAAUUACAUAGCUCCACAAUCAUAGGAAAUAAAUUAAAUGUUCUACUCUACAUUUUCCAUCUUUCAAAAGACUGGAUGGCCUGUAGGAUCCUUGUUGGCUCUAAAAUCUUCUAAAAUCUUCUAUUUUAAAAAAUCUUGUACUAAAGGGGCGCCUGGGUGGCGCAGUCGGUUAAGCGUCCGACUUCAGCCAGGUCACGAUCUUGCGGUCCGUGAGUUCGAGCCCCGCGUCAGGCUCUGGGCUGAUGGCUCAGAGCCUGGAGCCUGUUUCUGAUUCUGUGUCUCCCUCUCUCUCUGCCCCUCGCCCGUUCAUGCUCUGUCUCUCUCUGUCCCAAAAAUAAAUAAACGUUGAAAAAAAAAAAAAAAAUCUUGUACUAAAUAAUCAAACAAGGGGCACCUGGGUAGCUCAGUUGGUUGAGUGUCCAACUUCCGGUCAAGUCAUGAUCUGACCAGUUUGUGAGUUCAAGCCCCGCAUCUGGCUCUGUGCUGACAGCUCAGAGCCUGGAGCCUGCUUCUGAUUCUGUGUCUCCCUUUCUCUCUCUCUGCCCCUCCCCCGCUCAUGCUCUGUCUCUAAGAAGUAAUAAAUAAAGGUUUAAAAAAAAAAAAAAGACUUUCUUUAAAAAAAAAAAAAAAGAAAGAAACCAAAUAAUCAAACAAUCCCUUACCCCCAAAGAACCCCCUGGCUUACGAAGAAACUACAAGUUCAUUGGUGUUUUCAUUUGGUUUAUAUCUCCUUGGCCCAGCCAACUACCAAGGUCAGAGAGAAGACUUGUUCACAUAAACCUAAGAAAUCUAUGGGAACCAAGUGCAUGGUAGAUCAUCUCAUCAUCCAUUAGCAACACUGUUUAAGCUUCCAGAAAGGCUUCACAGAGAAAGGUCAAGAUAUUCUCACUUCACCUGGAGGAGUUUAUCCACCUUGAAUAAUAAGCUCUGUUGGUGAGAUGUGAAAUCUGACAACAAGUGAGGAAAUAGUUGAAGAGGAGGAAUUGAAAAUGCCCAGAGUCUUCCCAGGUGUCACCUGCUGCCUUGUAAAUGUGUGAAAGCCUUGAAAUAGUGUCUGGCAGAGCUCUGGAAAGUCCCCACCAUAUGUCACUGACUGUUCUUCAGAGUGGGAACAGGUAGAGGCAUGUCUGAACAAUGUUCAAGACCGAUUAUAUCAAUUAGGAUUGUGAGUGGCGACAAGGUUCAGAGACCAGACCACAGUGGCUUACAUAGAACAGAGGUUUAUUUUCCCAGGUAGCCAUACUUUUGAAAGUAGAUGGACAACCGUUUAAUGGGGGUACCAAUGUCAUGGGAAUUUUUGGUGUGCAUCAGUCUAGAAGGAGGUUGUAAUGGAAAGUUUUACUAGGUGGCAAAUUGGAAUUUAAGCAUAAACAGAAGGAUCUCACAAGUGCGUUCCAAAUUAAAAUAGCUUAAGGGUGUUUACCAAUGCCCAAUUUAAAUACCUAGCUUUAAAACCAAGCAGAGUUAAUUGGUCAAAUAUCUAAUUCCGUACCGUAGUUUCUAUUCUAAUUUGGGUUUGUAAAUAAUGAAACAAAAUAAAAGAUUCAGUUCAAGUUAAAAGUAAAUAGAUUGAAUGUAUAGGGGAAAGAGAUUAUCACAUGCAGGUAAGGGUAAAAAAAAAAAAAAAAAUGACAACCUGAAGGGAAGGUGGGGAUGGGAAAAGAGGGGGAAGGAGAGUGGGAGGCACAAGGUCCAGUUUAUGGAGUGAAUGUCACAGGGAUAAAAGGCACAGCCUAGGGAACAUAAUCAGUGGUAUUGCAACAGUGCUGUAUGGUGACAGAUGGUAGUGAACAUAGCAUAACACACAGGGAAGUUCAAUCACUGAAACUAAUGUCACAUCAUGUGUCAACUAUACUUCAAUAGAAAAAAUCAUGACAACCUUUCUCCCAUCUUUGCCUAAAUCUUUAUUAUUUCUAGUGGGAUAGCCAUCAAUCCCAUCUCUCCAGUGAAUCUAGUUUUGACGCAGUGGUCAAAGGGAUCUUAACAAACAUUAAUCAGAUAUCAUUGCUAUGCUUAAAACCCUCCCAAACUUCAAUUGCCUUUAUUGCAAAAUCCAAACUCCAUACUGUGGCCUAGUUGGUAGGCCUGUCCUCUCCUGCCCCACUGACCUUUCAUUCUCCCUGUUCCAGCCACAAUGCUCACAAGGCUAGUUUCUGCCUCAGGACCUUUGUGUUUGUCGUAGUCUUCACCCAGAUCACUCUUCCCUCAAAAGAGAGGGUUGGAUCCUUUCAAUGUAAAUGUCACCUUCUUAGGGAUCUUCUCUCCCAUUGCACUAUCUGAAGUAGCCUUCUCUACUCUCAUAUUUAUUUUAUCCCAUUAUCCUAUUUUAAACAUUAUCAUUACUACCUGACUACAUCUUACUUGCUUGUUUGUGCUUUGCUAUCUUCCACUAGACUGUAAGCUCUUUGGGGAUAGAGCAUAGCACAUGUCUACGCUCAGUAACUAUGUGCUAAGUAAUUUCAAAAUCAAGUAUUUCAGACUCUCUAAUUAUUCCAAAAAAGAAAGAUAUUAUCAUAAACCUGAGUCAGGGAACUCUUCCUGGAGGAGAGGGGAAUGGGUUGGACUCAGAAGAAAGAGAAGGAUCAGAGAAUUGAAGGACCUUAAUUGGAGGUGCCCAGGUAAAGCCAUGACUAAGGUUUGGGGGCCUUAGCUUGUGUUAAUUCCUCUUCUAAAAUGACAACAGUGCCCAUAUCUCCACCCCUGGCAGAUCACAGACAGAACAACCUUCCUUAAAAAUGUAUUAUCAAGGGCAUGGAAGCAAAAUACUCUGAUGACUUCAUUAAAAGAAAAACAUGUGACUCUUGCAUAGACCAAAAUAAAUUCCCAGACCAAGGGGGUGUGGCUGAGGGACAGUUCCCGAGCUGAAGAGAAAGUGCAGGACCUUCCAAGGCAUUCUGUGAAAAAAUGCUCUUUGGAUAAAACUGCAACUUAAAAAUAACGUCUGCUGGGUGUGGAGAGGAGAGCAACUGAAGUAUUGGGGCCAGAAACCCAGAGGGAGGGCCAAAUUUGGGCUAAGAAAAUGCUAGAUUCUUAAGAUCUUUGGAAAGCAACUCCUCUGCCCCCAUUUAUUUACAAUGAACAAAGUUUCUUAGAAACAAAUAUGAGGAAACUGGCAAUUUGUGAUGCUUAAGGUGUCAAACCAGUAUGCUAAUAAACAGAUAAUCUUCCAGUGUGAUGAGGGAGGAAAAAAAAUCUGAGAAAGACAGAUUUAUGUUUCUAGAUAAACUAAUAUGACACCAUUGGAGAACAAGAUGCUAUCUAGAUAAGGGCCAAAUAAGGUGCUUCUAACCUUUGGAGCAAUAGGCAUAAGGCAGCCAAACGUAAUGAAAAUUGAGGACUGUCAUGAGGGGUAGGCUCACGUGGGGAGAAUCCAACUCUGCCACUCUUCCUGUGUGACCUCAGGUGAGUCAUUUCACUUUUCCAACCCUUAGUUUCUUCAUCUGUAAAAUGGGAAAAUGCCCAUUUACCUCUGAAGGAUGUUGUAGAGAUUAAAUAAAGUACUGCAUAAGAACUGCCUCACAGAGUACCUGAAUGUUGGAAAGCUUUAAAAAAAACUUGGAAUUUUAUUUCUCUUCCUUCUCCUUGAAGAGCUGGGGAAAUUGGAGAGCUUCAGAAGAUAUAAACCAAGAUGUUUACUUUCCUAUUUAGGGAGUAUAACACUUAUCUACUGCCAUAAUAAUGAUGUGUUAUAAGCCAUUAGAAAAAUCAGUGGUUUAAAACAGUGAACAUGCAUUUAGCACACAAAUCUGCUAGUUGGAAGUUUAGUCUGGACUUAGCUGGGCGGUUCUGGUUUGGGCUCCUAUGUCUGGGGGUUGACUGACUAUUGGCUGGUCUAGAGUGGCCUCAGCUGUGGUGACUGACUGGUCAAGUUGGAUCUCCUCUAGCAGGCUAGCCUGGGCUUGUUCCAAUGGGAAAGGUAAAGGAGCAAGAGUGAGCAUGCCCAAUUGUGCAAGUCUUUUCAAGCCUCUGUUUGGAUCACAUCUGCUGACAUACUAUUGGCCAAAGCAAGUCACAUGGGCAAAUCCAGAGCCAGAGUGGGAGGCCACUACAAAGUUGCACGGUAAAGGACGUGGAUACAGGAGGGAUAACAUAAUGAAGCCAUGAGUGCAAUAAUCUGCUGCAGGGAGACUAGACAGAUACAUAUAUAAAUAAUUAAAUUUUAUAUAAAUGCAUAAUAAACAUACAUAUAUAAUUAACAAGAGAUGAAAGAUAAUAAUUUUAAUUCCAUAGCAUUUCACUGAUGCUGAAGAACCUUCCCUCAAAAAUCUUUUGACUUAAUCACCCCCUGUGAAUAAGGAGCAGGCAUCAUCAUUUUACAGGUAAGGAAAAUCAUAGACAGUAAGGUGUGAAGCUUGCACUUGAACUUCUGAUGAUGAGCUUCCCCUUCAUCCCAUGGCUUCUAGACAAGGAGCCAAAUGAGUGGAGCAUGCACUUAAGGAGCAAGAACUGUCACGAGCUCAGGCAGCCAAGGAGCCUUCGUAGAGACCAAACUCACUUGGGCCAUGGAUGAGUGUAUAAUGAUGAGUUCUCAAUCUUUGAACCAAUCCCACCAUUUUUGGACAAUUUUUAUGUAAACGUUGCCAAUUGUAUAAAUUGAUAAAAAAAAAAGCUAUUUUAUUAGCAUACAUUUAUUGUCAGGUUCAAAUGUACAACAUUCACUUAUCAAAUUAAUCUAUAAGAACAAUGAAGCCAUUUUGGGAAAUUCUGGGGCUUGAUUCAGGGACAGAUAUCAAAGGGGGCCAGUGCAGUCUUGGGUCUAGUGUGUUCCUGUAGUUUGUUUAGCCUGCCUAGUACAAUGAACUUCUGUUGUUCUGCUGCCCACUCUAUUCCCCAUUUCCCAUCUCCCAUUUCUGGUCACGUGGCUCUGGAGUUGGUCCCCCUCCCAGCUACAGAGGUGGGUCUGGGAGCCAGGGCCAGGAAACCCCGGGAAACAGGAGCUCUUCCUGUGCCAAAGAAGCCAACUCAGGGAAAGCUUUGCCAAGGGAAGGAGGGCAAUGCGAUGCCACCAUAAAAGUGUCUAGAUCUAGCUGGAACUCAAUCCAGCCCAACCCCUGAAAUUUUCUGCUAUGCAAACCAGUAAUAUUUGUCUUUCAGGCCAAUUUGACUUGAAUUUCUGUCUCUUGCAACCAAAAUAUUUCUGACUAACAUACCCAGGAGUAAGGAAAUCUGAUUCAAACAGAUAAGUAGUUGCAAGUAAUGAUAGUUUUGAAAGCAGUUCAUCUUGCAAUGUCAGGAAAUUCUUUAUUAAAAAAAAAUAGGAGCAGCUUUACUCCAAAUCUAUACACAUUCACACAUGAAAGUUUAACCUGCCAUACAACAUAAUAUGUACAAUAGAAACUGAUGAAUGGAUAAAGAAGAUGUGAUAUAUACAUACAUAUAUAUAUAUAUAUAUAUAUAUAUAUAGUGAAAUAUUACUCAGAAGGGAGAAAGAACGGAAUCUUGCCAUUUGCAACAACAUGGAUAGAACUGGAGGGUAUUAUGCUAAGUGAAAUAAGUCCGAAAAAGACAGAUAUCAUAUGUUUUCACUCAUAUGUGGAAUUUGAGAAACUUAACAGAAGACCAUGGGGAAAGGGAAGGGGAAAAAGUUAGUUUCAAACAGAGAGGGAGUCAAAUAAGAAACUCUUAAAUACAUAGAACAAACUGAGGGCUGACAGGGCGUGGGGGAGAAGGGAAAGUGGGUGAUGGGCAUUGAGGAGGGCACUUGUUGGGAUGAGCACUGGGUGUUUUAUGUAAGUGAUGAAUCAUGGGAAUCUAUCCCCGAAGCCAAGGGCAUGCUGUAUACACUGUAUGUUGACGAACUUGACAAUAAAUUAUAUUGAAAAAAUAUGUAUGAUAGAUUCAAAUUUAGGAUACAGCACAUUUGAGGGGAUGUUUGUUUAUUAUAGAUUUUAAAGUUGUUUAUAUGUAUUUAAAAAUGAAAUUUGAAGAAUAUUUUGUAGGACUCCUGAGGUGUCCUUUAGAGCUCUUCCAUUUCUAGAGUAUGGUUGAAAAACUAUUGAUACAGCAUAAGAGAAAGGGAUCUACGAGAAUAUACCAGGCAUGUGACAUCUGUCUUUUAGCACCAGAAUAAAAUUAAUAGUGUCACUAAGAAACAUGAAUUCAUUGCCAACCUCCACCUAGUUGUUCUGAUUGAAGCCAGAGAAUUCUUUAAUCAUCCAGUGUUCUGGCUGCAUGAUGGUGGUGGUGAGGUUGGGGGGUUGGAAAGGGGAGGAGGGGUUGGGAAGCACACCAUUGACUGCUGCCUCCAUCUUUCACUUUACUAACUCUCAUGUCCCAUCCUAGGAUUAUACACUCCUUCCUCUGCUAGGGACUUUCUAGCAGCAACAGCAAAUGACUAGCCAGUAUGGCUCUGACCCUAAACCCUAUGAAUCAUGGUGUUCUUUGCACUCCAAUCAACUAUGGAGUGAAAAGGACUGAAUUUCUAAGGAUGCAAACAAUUUCAUGAUCUGUGAGAUUGUUCCAAAAUGUCCAAUAGUUAGUAGGGUCAGGAAACCAGAAGAAAAAAGCCUGGAGCUGUGGUGUGUCCAUUUUGCUCUCCCCAAGGAAAGUUAGCACUUGUCCUCCUCUUUCUUUCCCUGAACUGAUCUCUCCACACACCUCUCCUUUGGAUACACUCUGGCUCCUCUGUUCUUCCCGCACAGCCCUUGUCUCCUCAUAUGGCUUUCCUGCUGCCCAGUGUUCUCUCAGUCCUGAUCUGCCUGUCCUCCUGACCCCUGGAUCCUUGCUUACUGCUUUUUCUUCACCAGACCUUACCUCCUCUGUGUCCCACACCCUCCAGGUCUUACUAGGUAAGGGAAGCUAAUUCAGAGUGCUUUCAUAUACAUUGUGCCAUUUGACCGGCACACCAACCCUGAGGGCAGGUAAGGCAGCUGUGAUGGUUUUUCUCCCCAUCUCACAGAUGAGGAAAUUGAGGUUUAGACUGAAAAGGCACAAAACAAGGAAGCGACAGAGCUGACUCAAAUUGCAAGUGUGAUCUUUCUCCUCAAAAUAGAUAAUAAGACACUAAUUACAAUCAGUUAAUAUUCUUUCAGAAUAGCUUUUCAUAGUGAAGGAAUGGUAGUUUGUAUAUAGUUCGUAGUGAAUAUUUUUUUAUUGAUUCCAGAGGUUGGUCCCACCCUUAACUGAUUGAUUUGAUCACUUAGCAAACUCUCAUGGAGCAUUUAUCAUAUCCUAGGCAUUAUGAUAAGCAUGGGAGAACCUCAAACAUGGCCCAUCAUCACCAGCCUUAAUCUGGUGGGGAGAUAGGUAGGAGUGAAUCCCUAUAAGAAAGAGGAAGUAUCAUCAGGGAAAUACAAAUCAAAACCACACUCAGAUAUCACCUCACGCCAGUCAGAGUGGCCAAAAUGAACAAAUCAGGAGACUAUAGAUGCUGGAGAGGAUGUGGAGAAACGGGAACCCUCUUGCACUGUUGGUGGGAAUGCAAAUUGGUGCAGCCACUCUGGAAAACAGUGUGGAGGUUCCUCAAAAAAUUAAAAAUAGACCUACCCUAUGACCCAACAGUAGCACUGCUAGGAAUUUACCCAAGGGAUAUAGGAGUACUGAUGCAUAGGGGCACUUGUACCCCAAUGUUUAUAGCAGCACUCUCAACAAUAGCCAAAUUAUGGAAAGAGCCUAAAUGUCCAUCAACUGAUGAAUGGAUAAAGAAAUCGUGGUUUAUAUACACAAUGAGGUACUACGUGGCAAUGAGAAAGAAUGAAAUAUGGCCCUUUGUAGCAACAUGGAUGGAACUGGAGAGUGUGAUGCUAAGUGAAAUAAGCCAUACAGAGAAAGACAGAUACCAUAUGGUUUCACUCUUAUGUGGAUCCUGAGAAACUUAACAGAAACCCAUGGGGGAGGGGAAGGAAAAAAAAAAAAAAAAGAGGUUAAGUGGAAGAGAGCCAAAGCAUAAGAGACUCUUAAAAACUGAGAACAAACUGAGGGUUGAUGGUAGGUGGGAGGGAGGGGAGGGUGGGUGAUGGGUAUUGAGGAGGGCACCUUUUGGGAUGAGCACUGGGUGUUGUAUGGAAACCAAUUUGACAAUAAACUUCAUAUAUUGAAAAAAAAAAAGAGGAAGUAGCAGUGGAACUUCAAGAGAGAAGAAAUGCACCCCAUUCCCGCACAUCCAGGGAGGGCACUGGAGACAAGGAUGUAGGGGAAGAUUUCAUGUAAAGGUAACUCAUAAGUUAUGUUUGGAAGAAUUUUCUGAAAGCAGAAAGAAUUUCUGGCAGAGGGUACAGCUUGAGUAAAGGCCUGUGGGUGUGAACACACAUGCAAACUCUAGGGAUGAAAGCAUCUCAGGAUGGUGGCAACACAGUGUAUGGAGGUGGGGGUAUGGGGGGGCAGGAAAAAGGGACUGAAAAAGUAGGUAGGGGUCUUGAGUAAGAGGGUAACUGAAGGUCAGGCUAAUAGGAAGGGAGGGAGGGAAGGAGAGAGAGAGAGAAGAAAAGAAAAGCAAAGAGAAAAGAAAAGAAAAGAAAAAAGAAAAGAAGGAGGGAGGGAGAAAAGAAAGACGGAAGGAAGAAAGGGAGGGAGGGAGGAAGGCAGGGAGAAAAAAUUUGUUCAGGCAGCAAUUUGAUGGUUAUAUGAAACACAUAGUGAGUGGAAAGGAAGCAUGUGCAGGGAGACAGAUUCAAUACACCCAGGUCAUGUAUGCAGUUACUUUCUUUGCCCACUGACCAGACAGCAAAGUGAGUGGUUGAAAGUUAAGUGUGUGGUUAGAUGUGCUAUUAGCAUCAGACCAGGGGCUCAGAAAUGCCAUCCCUCCUACACUCAAGGGUCUAGAUUAAAUGGGAAACUCAUGUACUAUUGGAUUAUUAACUGGUCUUGUGCCUGACAUGCCUGCAUAGACUGAUAAAUUAUGCUAGAACACCGAGCUUAGGCUCAAGACCAGAGCUUUCCCAGUACACACACAGUGACCUUACCCACUGUUAUUGGGACCCAGUUAGCAUCCACAAGUGGUGUCUAUCAGAUAAUUCUCUCUUGGAAAAAGGUGGACAUGGAGGGGUUGGGAGAGAAGGGCUAAGACUUUCUCCUUCUCUCCUCCCCCAACAGCAAUAACACCAGUGUUCUUUUUUUCUUUUUUAAUGUUUUUAUUUUAUUUUUGAGACAGAGUGCAAGUGGAGGUGAGGCAGAGAGAGAGACAUAUACACAGAACCGGAAGCAGGCUGCAGGCUCUGAGCUGUCAGCACAGAGCCCGACAUGGGGCUCAAACUCACAAACUGUGAGGUCAUGACCUGAGCCGAAGUAGAUCACUUAACGGACUGAGCCACCCAGGUGCCCCAGUAACACAAGUGUUCUAAAAAGGUUUGACUAUUUUGCCAAAUAUAGCCGGAAGAGGUGUUCACAAGAACAGCAACAAAACCUCCCUGUUGUACAAGCGUUUCUUUUUCUAAAAAAACAAUAAUAAUAAAUAUACAAUCGUUUCUAUUCAUGCAAGUGCCAAAAAAACCACAAGAAAUUUCCUCCUUGAGCCAAAUAUUAUUUUGGGGAUUCCUUAAGACUAUGAGAUGAAAUAUAAAAUCACGGCAAUCCAUGCUGUUGACUCCAACCAUGAGUUCGUGGAAGGUGAGCUCAAUGCUUGCCCCUUUGGAUAGUGUCUAAUUCGGUCAAGCAAAAAUGGAACUUUUAUAAAAGCAUUUGCAUGCCUCAGAUGAUGAUGAUGGGAAUAGAGGAUUCCGAUCUUGUUCUGGUGACCUCUAGAAACCUCAAACUCAAAAGCAUGAAGGUCUAACCCUCCGGGACACUUUGUGCUAUCUCAAGAUAAGGUUAAUUAAAAGAGGCUUGGGAUGUUUGGGGAGUUCUUCCUGAACUGAGGGUCGCAAGACACAAGAAGGAAUGGAUUUUAAAUCUGCAGUCCAACUCCCUCUCACUACAGGAUUCUUUGAUCUCUUCUCAGGUCUGUUCAUUGCUAAAUAUUUUUAAAUUAUCUCUUAUGUUGAAGUAAACUCUGUUGUAAAGGAAUAUAGACCUGUCUUGCCAGGCUAUCCUGACAGUUGCCAUUGCCAGACAUAGACAGUAGAACGGGGGGGUCAUGAGGCAGGCCCCUGUGGAGUAUAUCUGUGUCUUCCAUGCCCAAAGGAGAAACCAGGUCUGGACAGGGGUCCGUAAUGAGAGAAGGACUCAAGAGUUCUAGGGGAUUUAGGAAGAUGAGAAUGGUGAUAGAAUCAGUUUUUAAAUUUACCCUAAUCUCCACAUGAUAACAAACAGAGCAAAUACAUAGCAAAAUCAAAAACAAUGUUAGAUGGUAUUCCUAUGAAUCCCCAAAUAUAAGCUGUGGGGACAAAGCAACAAUUGCCCCAAGAUUCACAUGGUAUUAAUGCCUGUGUGUGAGGAAGGAAGGAAGCAAUGGGGUAUCUGAUAGACCUGGGAACAGGAGAAUCUCAACAGAGGCAGCAGGUACUUACUAGAAAACACAUGAGCCAGUCUGAGAGAGGCAGCUGAAGUGGGAGGCAUUCUGCCCAAACCAGGAGUGGGGCGUGCAAGGUGUCUGGAGAGAGGAUUGAGGAGCUGCUGCUGUCUAGCUCCUACGGUAUGGACUCCCCAAACUGACCACGUGGGCUCUCCCUCCUGUAUUGGGGAGAAAAUGUUGGGAGUAGAAUAAAAAUUGGAUGGACAAUAGAGAUGGAGGAAAAGAAGCUCAGUUAAAAGUUGGGGGGUGAGGGGACAGUCAGGAAAUCUCAGGAAGUAAAUCAGAAAAAUUGUUAAGAAAAAGAAUAAACUAGGAGUGGGGUAACACCUCGCCCAUAAUUCAUAUGUUGAAAUCCUUAACCCUCAAUGUGAUAGUAUAAGAAGAUGGGGCCUUUGAGAGGUGGUUAGGUCUUUAUUUUAUUUUAUUAUUAUUUUCUUAAUGUUUAUUUAUUUUUGAGACAGAGAGAGAGAGAGAGAGACAGCACGAGCAGGGGAGGGGCAGAGAGAGGGAGACACAGAAUCUGAGGCAGAAUCUGAGCUGUCAGCAUAGAACCUGACACGGGGUUCAAGCUCACAGACCAUGAAAUCAUGACCUGAGUCCAAGUUGGACACUCAACCGACUGAACCACCCAGGUGCCCUGAGAGGCGUGUAGAUCUUGAAGGUGGAGCCCUCAAGAAUGAGGUCAGUGCCCUUAUGAAAGGGACCCCAGAGAGCUCUCUUGCCCUCUUUCCACCAUGGAAGGAUACUAGAAGUCAGCAGUUUACAACCUGGAAGAGGGCCCUCUCCAGAAUGCAACAAUUCUUGCACCCUGAUCUCAGACUUGCAACCUCCACAACCACGAGAAAUAAAUUUCUGUUGUUUACAAGGCAUCUGGUCAGUAGCGCUUUGUGCUAGGAGCCUGGACUGACUAAGACAGUUAUUCCAGCAAAAGUCAAGAUCAUGGCUAUUUUGGGCAGGUGGCUGUGAUUGAAUGCAGCCCACAAGUGGGCUUCUGGGAUUUGUGUGGUUUCCUAUAUCUGUGUGUUAUUUUACCAUGAAUGGGUAGUUGCAGGAGAGGGGGAUCAAGGGGACCUCAGGUCCCAACUAAUAUUGCAUACUAAUACUAAAACCAAUAGAAUUCUUGCUCCUGUCUUUGGAGCAUGUACCCUAUACAAGGUGCCACACUAAGCAUUUCACCACAGUGGUCUUUUGCCCUGAGUCUAGAAUCAAGUGGCUUGAUUGGGUUCAUUUAUUAGCUGUGGUACUUUGGUAAGUAAUUCUCUUUGACCCUCUAUAUGCUCAUCUAUAAAAUAGGGUAAUAGUAGUAUACUAUUCAUAAGGUCGUUGGAACAAGUGAGGUUUGCAUAUAAAGCCCUUAACACAAUGCCUAACUCAGAGGACAUGCUCACUCAGUCCUAAGCACUGCUUCAUCCCUGUGAGUGUCUAUUAUUACUCUCACUGUAUAGGUGAAAACAAGGUUCUGAGAGGUUAAGUCGUGGAAUUAUUCAGUGGUGCGACUAGGCUCUCACACUUUCCCUCUGUCUUCCCAACCCAUUAACUUCCUUCAAAUGAAAGACAGUAAAAUGGCAAGUGAUAGUGACCUGGCCUGGUUCCACAGCUCCAUCUUGAAGGAUAUCUGAGGUCUGGCUCCCUCCCUUGCCUCCACACAUGAUGUUGCAAUUUCGCUACCAGAGAGUGAAUUCAGCAGUGCUGUCCACAGCUCAGUUCCCUGAAGCAUUCUUGGAAGAGACAGUAAGGGCAGGAAGGAUGCAUGGCUGUGCAGGCUCCUUCAGUGGAGGUAUAAACAAGUCCCCACUCUCGGAUGGGGCCAGGGAGCCCAGCUAGGCGGCUGGUUGGAUGCGUCACACACACACACCAUGCUGAGAGAGAAAAUAAGUGGCAUUCCUCUGUGCUGAAGUUUAAGCAUAAACAAGGAGCAAGUACUUUUCAUGAUAAUUACCAAAUAUUAGAAAUGUAUUGUUCCUUCCCCACUCCCAAGUCACUUCUAAGGAGCUCCAGCUGUGCUAAUAAUGUUCCGCGUACCACUUCCAGGGCCAGAAGUAUUGUUCCAAGACAAAGGUUCUUCAUCUGUGUUUGUUCUUGUUUCCCAUCAACACUUGAAACGUAGUUCACCUACGUUUUCUUGGGACUCCGUGCAUUGUUUGGAGCUGAGAGGAAUAAAGAACAAAAAACGAAAAGCAAAACAAAACAAAACCAGCAUUUGAGUUAAGAUCUUAAGCGAGUCUUAAUUUCUUUGAUCCCCGACUAUCAGAAAGGGAAGUAAUAUUUACCUCAUAAUAGAACCGAGCUGAAGACGACUGAGGGCACAUGUGUGAAGAGUCCAGCAUAGAGCUUGGCAUACAGUAGGCACCAUAAAUGAAGGUGGCCCCUUCCCCAGCUCCCGUGCCAGCCCACCUUGAAAAUGAGAACCAAAGUGGCAGAUAUGUAGCCUGUAAGCUUCUUUCCCCUAUGGUAUCGCCGGUAGGCAUUAUUAAUUGAUUCCAAUAUUCUGUCCUGUUUGAAUUUGGUUGCUUGCGAUCUCUACAGUAGAAAAUUACCACAAAUUUAAUAUAUUAAAACAACACAAUUCUGUUGUCUUAUGGUUUUGUGGGUUUGAGGUCUAACAUAGGCCUCUGUGGGCUGAAAUCAAGAUUCGGGCAGGGCUGCUUUUCUUUUUGAAAAUUCUAGGAGUAAAAUCCAUUUCCCUGUGCGCUCCAGCUUGUCCAUGAACAUAGCCCACCUGCAUUUCAGAACCAGCAACAGGGCAUCAAAUCUUUCCCAUGCUGCUAUUACUCUCUGACCAUAACCAGGAAAUGUGCUCCACUUUUAAGAAUUUAUGUGAUUAGAUUGGGCCCACCGGAUAAUCCGGGAUUAUCUCCCCGUCUCGAGAUCCUUAACCUUAGUCAGUCUGCAAAGUUGCUUUCGUGCUUUCGUUGGGUCAGGUGAAACGGUCUCCUGUUCUGGGGAUUAGGAAGUAAACAUCUUUGGGGGCCACUAUUCCUCCUACCACACUUCUCAGUGCAGUGCUGCAGGUAGUCACUACCAGCGGAUCACAGUUUGACCUGUGAGAUCAAAUCCAUUUGGUCUGGGGGACGUCAGAGCUAUCCCUACUUUGGAGAUUCAUCAGGAAAGGAAGAAGAAAAAAAAAAAGAAAAGCAAAGCUGGUCAGGGGAUAAUGGAAAUCAAAAGAAGACACUUAGCCUCCUGCUAAACACUUUUUGCUUUUGUUUUUCAAUCUACUUGCCAGGAUUCUCCUUGCCACGGCCAGCAGUGGAAGCAGUAAUGUCUGCUCCAGUAGCCGCGGAAAGGGAACAUCCUCUGAAGUUUGCAUUUCUACCAAUGGGAUCCUGGGGUCCCACCUCCGGGCCUCUCAGCUGGGGUCCCCUCACUUGGGAUCAGGUACAAUCACACACCAGCCUAAACUCCCUUUUAAAAAACGACUUUAUUGGGGAUAUAACUGAUAUAUGAUACGUUGUACAUGUGCAAAGUGUACAAUGUGCCAAGUUUUGGCAUGUGUAUAUACCCGCGACACUAUUGCCACAGUUACGAUUUUGAACACAUUUGUGCCCGCCAAAAGUCUACUCGUGCCUAUGGUAACCCUUCCCUAUUCUCCACCCCUUCCUCCCAGAUAACCGCCGAUCUGCUAUUGUCACUCUAGAUUAGUUUUCAUUUUCUAGACUUUUAUAUAAAUGAAAUCAUACACUAAGUACCCUUUUAUUGUCUGGUGUCUUUCAGUCAGUAGGAAUGAUUUUGAGACUCUCAGCCAUGUUGUAUGUAUCAGUAGUUCAUAGCUUUUAUUGCUGAGUAAUAUUUCAAUGUAAACUGCAGUUUUAUCUUUACCUGCUGAGGGAAAUUUCCAGUUUUUGGCUAUUACAAAUAAAAAUCCUAUAAAUAUUCAUGUACAAGUCUUUGUGUGGGUUUAUGCUUUCAUUUCUCUUGCAUAAACACCUACAAGGGCAAUGGCUAGGGCAUAUGGUAGGUGUAUGUUUAACUUUCUAAAAACAUGCCAAACUGUCUUCCAAAGUGGCUGUACCAUUUUACAUCAUCAGCAGUGUAUGAGAGCUUUAGUAGCUCCAUGUCCUUGGCAAUACUUACCACGGUUAGUCUUUUUAAUUUUAGCAAUUCUAACAGGUGGGUAGUGGUAUUUCAUUGUUUUAUUUGCAUUUUACUUAAUGAUGAUAAUGUUGACCAUCUUCGUAAUUUGCUUAUUGCCAUCCCUUUAUCUUCCUGGAUAAAGUAUAAGUGUAAAUCUGUUAUCAAUUUUUUAAAAAUUAGGUUUUUUGGCUUAUUAUUGGGUUUUAGAGUUCUUUAUAUAUUCUGAAUACAAUUGUCUUGUCAGAUACAUGAUUUACAAAUAUUUUCUCUUAUUUUGUAAGCUGUCUUUUCAUUCUCUUAACAGGGUAAUUCAAAGAGCAGAAGUUCUUGGGGCGCCUGGGUGGCUCAGUCGGUUAAGCAUCCGACUCUUGAUUUCUGCUCAGGUCAUGAUCUCACGGUUCAUGAGUUCAAGCCCUGCAUUGGUCUCUGCACUGAUGGCAUGGAGCCUGCUUGGAAGUCUUUCUACCCUCUCCCGCUUGCACAGGCAUGUGCUCUCUCUCUCUCUCUCUCUCUCAGAUAAAUAAACAAACUUCAAAAAUCUAUAGGGGUACCUGGAUGGUUCAGUUGGUUAAGCGUCCAACUUCGGUUCAGGUCGUGAUUUCAUGGUUCAUGGGUUCGAGCCCCACUUUGGGCUCUGUGCUGACAGCUAGGAGCCUGGAGCCUGCUUGGAAUUAUGUGUCUCCCUCUCCCUCUACCCCUAUCCUACCCACACCCUGUUUCUCUUUGUCUCUCAAAAAUGAAUAAACGUUAAAAAAAUUUUAAUUAAAAAAAAUCUAGAGUCAAAGAGCAGAAAUUCUUAAUUGUGAUAUAGUACACUAUCACUUUUUUCUUUCAUGAACUGUGAUUUUGAUGUUCUAUCUAAGAAAUCUUUGCCUAAUCAUAAAUCAUAAAAAUUUCCUCCUAUGUUUUUUUCUAGGAAUUUUAUAGUUUUAGAUUUCAUAUUUAGGUCUGUGAUGUAUUUUGAGUUGAUUUUUGUAUAUAGUGCAAGGUAUGGAUUAAAGUUCUAUUCCCCCUCCUUUGCCCCCAUAUAGAUGUCCAACUAUUCUAGCACUAUUUGUUGAAAAGACUAACUUUUCUCCACUGAACUACCUUUGCUCCUUUACUGACCACCAGUUGUCCAUAUAUCUGUGGGUCUAUUUCAGGACUCUAUUCUGAUUCAUGUAUCUAUUUAUCUAUCUUGACCCUAAUGGUUGACACUGACAAUUACUGUAUCUUUAUAGUAAGUCUUGAAAUCAAACAGUGUUAACCUUCUUUUUAAAUUAUUUUUAAAGUUAUUUUGGCUAUCCAAGGUCUUUGCAUUUCCAUAUCAAUUUUAAAAUUAUCUUGUCAAUUUCUAUAGUAAACUCUGCUAAGAUUUUGAUUGGGAUUGUUUUGAAACUAUACACUGAUUUGAGUUAUAAUUGAUAUUUUAACAAAAUUGAGUCUUCUGAUCCAUGAACAUUAUUUAUAUCUCCAUUUAUUAGAUCUUCUUUAAUUUCUUUUAGCAGUGUUUUGUAGUUUUCAAUCUACAGAUCUUACACACAUCUUGUUGGAGAUAAUCUGUAACUAUAUUUUUUGAUACUGUUAUAAAUGACAUUAUUUUUAAAAUUUUAGUUUCUGAGGGGUGCCUGGGUGGCUCAGUUGGUUAAGCGUCCGACUUCAGCUCGGGUCAUGAUCUCACGGUCUGUGAGUUCAAGCCCCGCGUCGGGCUCUGUGCUGUCAGUUCAGAGCCUGGAGCCUGCUUCAGAUUCUGUGUCUCCCUCUCUCUGUCUGCCCCUCCCCCACUCAACUCUGUCUCUCUAUCAAAAAAUGAAUAAACGUUAAAAAAAAUUUUAAUUUUAGUUUCUGAUUAUUCAUUGCUUUUAUAUAAAUGUAAUCUUUUAUAUUGAUUUUGUAUCUCGAAAACUUGGUAAACUUUUUUACAAGUUCUUGUAGUGUUUUGUUGUUGAUUCCAUAGGGUUUUCUACAUAGAUGAUCAUAUCAUGUGUGAGUAAAGACAGGUUUAGUUCUUCCUUUCUAAUCUCCAUACAGUUUGUUUUUUUCUCUUGCCUUACUGCAUUAGCUAGAUCAUCAGUACAAAUUUGAACAGAAGUAGCGAGAAUGAACAUCUUUUUCUUCUUUCUGAUCUUAGCACAAAAGCAUUCAGUCUUUCAUUUUAUUUUACCUUUAAGUAUGAUGUAGGGUUUUUAUAGAUGCUUUUUAUCAAGUUAAGGAAUUUCCCUCUAUUCUUAGUUUGCUGAAAUAUGUUUUUUCUUUUUUUAAAUUUUUUUUUAACGUUUAUUUAUUUUUGAGACAAAGAGAGACAGAGCAUGAAUGGGGGAGGAUCAGAGAGAGAGGGAGACACAGAAUCCGAAACAGGCUCCAGGCUCUGAGCGGUCAGCACAGAGCCCGAUGCGGGGCUCGAACCCACGGACCGCGAGAUCAUGACCUGAGCCGAAGUCGGCCGCUUAACCGACUGAGCCACCCAGGCGCCCCUGAGAUAUGUUUUUUCUAUAAAAAAUAAUGUACUUUGUCAAAUGCUUUUCUACCUCUGUUUUGAUGAUUUUGUGUGUUUUUCCUUUUUACACUAUUAAUAUGCUGAAUUACAUGAUUUGUUAAAUGUUCUAUCAACUUUGAAUUUCUGGGGUAAAGUCCAGAACAAUGCCAUUUGCUUGAUCAUGAUAUAUUAUCCUUCUUACAUGUUUUUAGAUUUGACUUACCUUUUAGUUGACACUUUACUGCAUAUUCAUGAGGGCUAUUGGUCUGAAAUUUUCUUAUCUACUAAUGCUGUCAUUUGCAACGGUGGGCUCACAGAAUAAGUUGAUAAGUAUUCCUUCCUCUUUAACUUUCUCAAGGAGUUUGUGUAUUGUUUCUUUCUUAAAAAUUUGAUAGAUUUCACCAAGGAAGCUAUCUGGUCUUUGAGUUUUGUUUUUUCCUAAGAAAGUUGUUAACUACAAAUUCAAGUUAUUUCUUCUUGAGUGAACUUUGUUUGAUUAUGUUUUUCAAGGAAUUUAUCCAUUUAAAUUGUCAAAUUUAGAGGCAUUUAUUAUUUAUUUUAUAGACAGAGUUGUUCGUAAUGUCUUCUUAUUGCUUUGAUAUCUGUAGAAUCCAUAGUGCUGUCAUUUUUCUGAUUCUGGUUAUUGGGUUAAUUUAUGUCUUUUCUCUUUUUUUUCUAUUCACUUUGGUUAGAGGCUUAUAAAUUUGAUUGAUUUCAAAGAAUCAACUUUUGAUUUUAAUGAAUUUCUCUAUUGUUUUUCUAUUUUCUGUUUCAUUGAUUGUUCAUUGAUUUUUAUUUAUUAUUUUCUUUCUUAUGCUUACUUGGCUUUAACUUACUUUUCUUUUUCUAGUUUCUUAACGUGGGAGCUUGGAAUUUGAGACUUUUCUUUUAUUUUUUAGCAUAGGCAUUUCAGUGCUAUAAAUUUCCCCAUAAGCACUGCUUUAGCAGCAUGGUAUAAAUUCUAAAAUGCUGUGUUUUAAUUUUCAUUAACUUAAAAGUGUUUUCUUCUUUCCCUUUUAAUUUCUUCAACUCAGCUGUUAUUUAGAAGUGUUUUAGAUAGUUUCCAAAUAUUUGGGAAUUUUAUAGAUAGCUGUCUGUUAUUGAUUUCUAAUUUAAUUUCAUAUUCUCCAGGAAAUAUAUUUUGUAUGACUUGAGUUCUUUUAUUUAUUUAUUUUUUUUAAUUUUUUUUUUCAACGUUUAUUUAUUUUUGGGACAGAGAGAGACAGAGCAUGAACGGGGGAGGGGCAGAGAGAGAGGGAGACAUAGAAUCAGAAACAGGCUCCAGGCUCUGAGCCAUCAGCCCAGAGCCCGACGCGGGGCUCGAACUCACGGACCGCAAGAUCUUGACCUGGCUGAAGUCGGACGCUUAACCGACUGCGCCACCCAGGCGCCCCUACUUGAGUUCUUUUAAAUGUAUUAAGAUUUGUUUAGGUCUCAGAACUUGGUCUAUCUUGGUAAAUGAUCCAAAUAGUGUUAAGUGCUUUAUACUUUUUUAUAUUUAAUCUUUACAACAAUGCUUACUAUUAUUCCCAUUUUAAUGGAGAGGAAAUAGGUGAUACUGUAUCCCCAUUUUAAAGAGAAAAGGCUGAGGAUCAAUCAAUUUAAAUAGCUAUUUAAUGCCAGACAGCUAUUAAGUACUAGAACUAGAAUGUGCUUCCAGGUCUGACAACAACACCAAGCUAUUAACCACUCUUCCACAAUUCCUCAAUAGCCAUUUCUCAUUGCGAUAAGCAGGGGAAAACCACUUCUGCUCAAGAGAGUAUGAGUUCAGAGGUUAAUUCCCUCUCUCUGAAAGUUCUGGGAUCUAUCUCCUAAAUUGCUCCUUCCUAGCAUAAACACAAUUGCUUCAGUUGUUGCAGACAUAAAGGUGGAUUUUGUGUGAUGGUAAGAGAUGCUCUAAUCCCCAACUACUAAUUUGAGUCAGAACCUUGCUUCUGAGCCCUGCUGUUGGCUGAUGCUCAAUUACUAGGUCACUCUAAGAACACCCAAGAACAAAGAUUGACAUAAGGUACUUUUGCCUCUUUGCAGGUAGCUGGGCAGGGCUGAUUGCCCCUCAGAGUCCAAUAAUACCGAGGGAGGCUUUGGGCUAGCAGACUCUGUUUGUAUGUUCCUUGAAUUUACGUAAUACCUUCAAGUCAAUCUGGAUUGAAAUGACUAUUUCCUUAGUCUUUUCUUGUAUUUAACUGUCAGGCAUUAAAAGCAUCAUCUUAUUGCUAGUAAACAUGGUUACAGUGCUUGUUCACUGGGACUGAUGCCAACCUGGGAGCCUAUUAGUCCAGUUCAACAAAAGAAUUUUUGGUCAUCUGCAGCUCCGAUUAUCCAAGUGAUCUAGCCUCUUUCAUACUCUUAUUACCACAGUAAUUUGACUCGGCUGUUAAUGAUCUUUCUGCCUGCAUCCAAGGCCCUGCACAAUGGGUUCAUGUGAAUAAAUGUCUUCCAGGGGCAUGUUCCACUUAUAUACAAAGUCAAUUUAACUUCUACAGUUAUUUGCAGGCACCCAAAUUGUUCAUAAUUGACUACUUCCUAAUGCCACUUAGCCUAAAAUCUGAAAGGAAAGGAUUGUGCUGCCUAAGUGAGCUGCUCAUUCCAUGGUGCCAUUUCUGCACCACUUGAAAUGCUAAAUGGUCAGCACCAAAGAAAGGGAAAGAACUCCUGGGGAUCUUCUUUGAGCACCUAAAUCUCUAACCUUCCACUGAAGUAGACUGGCUUUUACAUGCUAAUUAUUAGCCUGCAGAUUGCUAAGGAGUUAAAACUCUUUGGUAAGAAUAUAUAGUCCCCAGAAGUUACUCUGUGGUGUGUAGCAUCUGAUUUAAAUUUCUUCUGAGGAACGUCGCAAAGGAUGUAGGAUGGAGUUCUACAGCAACUCCAAAGUCUAAAGAAACCACUAUUCUAGUUGACAGGUAAUUGCUUAGGUCUUUGCUUUUUCCUAAAUGGAAACUACAUGGUUGAAAGAAAUCUUUCCUUAAGAUUUUGCAAAUUUUUGACAAGUCACUAGUUAGCAAUGGCAAAUCAGUUUUGGCUUAUGUCAGUUGAUUGGCUGGCAUUAGAUUUUUGGGGUUCAGUUUUGAGAAUGAUUCUGAGAUCAUUUUCUUUUUUCUUUCUUUGUUUCCCUUCCUUUUCUUUUCUUUUCUUUUCUUUUUAGAGAGAGAGAAUGUGCAUGCUAGGAGCAGAGGGUGAGGGAGAGACAGAAUCUUAAGCAGGCUCCAUGCCAGGCUUGAUAUCAUGACUGUGAGAUCAUGACCUGAGCCAAAAUCAAAAGUCGGACACUCGACCAACUGAGCCAACCAGACACCCCUGAGGCCAUAUUCUUGAUCAAUGGGAAAGAGUAAGGUGGUGAUUGAUUAGUGAUGUCUGUCAUGAACACAGUUAUAAGGAAUAAUGGCAUACCCAGAAUGCUAGACUCUACACUAGGCACUGGGAAUAUAGGAGUGAACAAGACAGAUACAGCUGAUGAACUCACAAAACUCACAGGGUGGGAAUGAUGACUAAGGUCACUUCUUAUUUUGUCAUUUUAAAAUUGUAUGGUCCUUUUUCUGUCUACCACUGUCACUAUUAAUGAAUUAUUGUAAAAUAGCCACAAUGCCAAUUAAGACACAGUUAUCUAGUAGGAGAACCUGAUAAGAGGAAAGGUGUUCAUUACAUCAAGUAAGACUUAUCUUGUAUUCUGUUCUCUUUCUCUUCAAGAGCGCACAGGUCAAGAAGACCUUCAUCUGAUGCAGAUGCUCCUUGCCAAACCAGUACAUUUCUCCAUGGGGCUAGGUGGCUGCAAUCCUAGCCAGGGUCAACUCUUGUUUAUGGAGAAUGGAAAACAGUGGACAGAAGAAGAUUAUCUGCGGAGGUGGAAUGGUGGAUUGCUUCUUCUCUGGGGCCACAUGAGAAGGCAAUUCCUGAGAGAGCAAUCAGACCAGAACAAAGUGCAUUCACCUUCUUGUUAACUGAUCAACAUCUGUUUCCAGAUGUUUCCCUGUGCUGGUUAUAUAGUUUGUGCUCAUUCAGAUGCAAAGCCUCUCUCCGUGUAGCUCAGCAGAUGCCAUCAACAGCUCUUCAGUCUGGUAGGGAUAGGCUCUGUCUGCAAGAGUCUCGUAACUGCAACCUAGCAAUGCUGGCACCAAAGUCAGAGUUCGGAACUCACUGCAAAAGGCACCCCCUCGGUGCACAGAUGAUGCAGCGGAUCAGUGUCUUUCUCACCAUGGUGACAGCAGUUGACAUGGAAACAGUUGUUCUCGCUUAUAUACAUAAUCAUUGCCCCUCACUCAGGCUUGCCAAAUGUUGAAAAUAUCUGUCUGCCCAGCAUUCAUUUCUUCCAUCUCUAGGAAAUGCACCAAGAUUAUCUUUUGGGAAAUCAUCUGGACUGAACAUCCAAACCACUUGUUUUGGAUAUUAUUUGUCCAAACUCAGCAUGUGACCAAUACCUGGUAAAACUGAGCCAUAGGAAUGUGUAACCAAGCCAUUCUGAGCCCAUGAGUGUCAGGUCCAGAUUUUGCUAGAACGAUUGGGAAAGUGACAGGGUUUUGCCUGACAUUAUAUGCUGAUGGAAAAGAAGCCUGUGGCGGCUGGAAGCUGUCUGUACCACCAGCUGUGUAGAACAUGCUUGAAAAUAAAGAAAAUUUAGAGGAAAAAAAGAGCUGAGGAGCUAAGAGAGACACAAUAUGCUGAUAAAAUAUGAACACCUGCAUGCAGCCUUACUUGAACUUAAAUACACCUUUUGACUUUUCAGGUAUAUGAACCAAUUUUUGCCCCUUUUGCUUAAGGAAGUUUGAGUUAGGCUUCUGUCACUUGCACCCACAAAAGUCC
rnacentral:lncRNA from 1 species